GAUGUUCUGUGUUUGUUCUUCAGCUACAGUGAACUUUGGCUUGGGUAAACUUAAAGAGAGAGAGAGAGAGAGACAGACAGACAGACAGACAGAGAAUUUAACAACUCAACAAUGACCAUAAUCUUGGCCUUGUCCAUUGUGAUGCUUUCUUCAUUAGGGGUCCUUCGGUGCCAAGGCGAGAUCAUCCAAGACCCUCUUGUGAUAGAGUCAGAUGGAAGAGCACUGAAUCUCUCUUGCAAGCACACUUCGAUUUCAACUCAAACCAUCUUUUGGUACCGACAGUUCCCUAAUGAGAGUCCUCUUGCUAUAGCAGCUGGAUACAGUGGAACAGCAGCGAGUGAUAUUGUCAAGGGGUUCUUGCAUAUUGCUGGGGAUCGAAAGGAAAGUGUGUUCUCCUUCAGAGCUACUCUGGCUGAUUCUGCAGUGUACUACUGUGCGCUGAGUGACACAGGGCUACAUCCUGAUGCCCCUCUUGUACAAAAACAGCCCCAGCAGUGCUUUUUGACCUUGAAUAAAGAAGGUACAUAG